GAUGAACGCUGGCGGCGUGCUUAACACAUGCAAGUCGAGCGGAAAGGCCCAAGCUUGCUUGGGUACUCGAGUGGCGAACGGGUGAGUAACACGUGGGUGAUCUGCCCUGCACUUCGGGAUAAGCCUGGGAAACUGGGUCUAAUACCGGAUAGGACCACUUCUUGGAUGUUGUGGUGGAAAGUUUUUUCGGUGUGGGAUGAGCUCGCGGCCUAUCAGCUUGUUGGUGGGGUAAUGGCCUACCAAGGCGUCGACGGGUAGCCGGCCUGAGAGGGUGUACGGCCACAUUGGGACUGAGAUACGGCCCAGACUCCUACGGGAGGCAGCAGUGGGGAAUAUUGCACAAUGGGCGCAAGCCUGAUGCAGCGACGCCGCGUGGGGGAUGACGGCCUUCGGGUUGUAAACUCCUUUCGCUAGGGACGAAGCGUUUUGUGACGGUACCUGGAGAAGAAGCACCGGCUAACUACGUG
rnacentral:rRNA from 1 species